AUUGGUAGGAAACAAUUAUCAUACAAGAAACGAUAUUAUCACAAAUGAUAUAUGAAAAAUAUACAAAUGAAUACCGCAGAAUAAGGCUCACAGCAGUCACCUGGGUUUUAACUGUUUUUAGCAUGAACUACAUGUAGUUGGAUAAUAUCAACAUUAGAAAUCUACAUUCUACGAACUACUCAAAUCAUAACUGCUAAUCAGCAACCUAUUUUAACAACGACCGUUAGACUCAAGAGAGUGACAUGAUUGCAAUGACUACUAGUGGAUCAGGAUCAGGAUCUCCACGUUUGGUUCAAGGAAGCAUUCCUCUUUAAAUCCAACUUGGUGUACUUUUUGGCAAAGGUCGUUUUGAAGAAGUACCUUUAGCAAGGAGAACAAGUAGCUGUGAAAAUAUUUUCAUUUAGAGAAACUGAGAUAUUCCGAACAGUUAUGCUGAGACAUGAUAAUAUUUUAGGAUUUUUUGUUGAUAAUAAUAGAGAUAAUGGCACUUAAACUCAAAUAUACUAUUACUAAUAUACUAUUACUAUGACUAGUAACUAAUUACCAUGAAAAUAGAUCAUUAUUUGAUUUUCUGUGUAAAUACAAUAGAUACAAAAGGAAUAAUUCCUAUACCUCUGUCUAAGACGUAUAAGUCUAGACAUUUCUCAGAUCAAAGAUCAUAACAAUUUUGCAAGAUCAUUAAAGGUAAACCAGCCGGCAGCCAUUGCAUAUCAAGAUCUCAAAUUGAAAAAUAUUUUAGUCAAUUUCAAUAGUACUUGCGCUAUUGGAGAUUUAGGACUUGCUGUACAAUAUGAUACUUCUAUGGAUGCAGUUGAUAUACCACAUACCACAGGUUUUGGAAGAAACAAUCAACAUGAAUCAUUUUGUUUCGUUUAAGAUAUGUUAUAUUUAUGCUUUGGGUGUAAUACUAUAGAAAGUAACUCGGAGGUGUUCUGUUGAUAAAAUACACAAAGAAUAUCAAUUACCCUAUUAUAAUAGCGUACCACUUGAUGCACUGAUUGGUUAAAUGGGCAAAGUUGUUUGUUUAGAAAUGAAAUUACCACCUACACCAGAGAGAUGGAAUGCAUACCUGUGUUUGCAAACAGUGAUCAAAUCAAUGUAAGAAUGUUGGUACCAUACUGCAUGUGUUUGUCUUACAGCAUUAUGCAUUAAAAAAACUCAAGCCACUUUGGGUGGCACCAUGCAGUCAUAAUAUAUAUAUUACUAUUUGAGCACUUAAUGAUGUCAUAAAAGAUAAACCCCUUGCUGCCAAUAGAUUAUCUACAAAAAUAAUGUUUACAACUUCUGGAUGUGUAAUUUAAGUUCCAUCGUUUAUGAAAUCUCUUUUGACAUUGUACGUGCUAUUUUAUUCUUCAAAACUGUGAUGUUAUAGGAAAUAUUUUUUAUUUAAUAAGUAAUUUGAGUGUUUUUGUAAUCAUCAUACUGAUUAACAUAACAAAACUUUUCAGUGUCGCAAAUUGUAUCACUUUAUUAACAAUAAUUUAUUUAAACUCAAAAUAUAAAUAAAAAUAUUUAUUAGUAUUGUUGCA